CAGCUCCGAAGAAGACGCUCAAAUCGAGGCAUUAUUUUUCAAGAGCCCUCGCCACAUAAACCAGAAGCAGGACGUUCUGUUGGCGAACAAAAAACUCCUUGACCAGUGACCAGCUGAACCGUACGGAUAUCUGGACAUCUAUCCCGCCUCCAUAUGUUUCAGCUUCGCCCACACGGUUUCUGCGCCCACGCUCAACCACCCACCCGCGUUAAAAAGAGACGCGGUGCAUAUAUUCAUUUGCCCCGGUCUUGUAUGAACCGCGCGCCAUUUCAAAUGUCAACUCGAACAAUACAUUACUAACACGCAGGAGUCGACACCUGAAGAAGACUGUCUCUCGUUGCUCGCUACUGGACAGCGGCGUACGUACACCGCAUCGCAACGAACAUGGGAACGAGGAGAACAGCGACCGCUGUUGCCGCCUGAACAUUCCAUCCGCCCUCACGGAUCUGAAGAAGUCUGGGCAACGCAAUUCCAAGGGCGAGUGCUGUUGCAGCCGUAGUAGCGGUUAGCAUGAGUGUCCUUUCAAACCGACGCAGCGUCUCCGCCAAGGAACACAGUGUUUGGAAGACCACAGGGUGGAGAGCGACCUCCACCGGAAUAUUGAUGAUGGCGUAGUCGCGAGGAAUUACAGAAAGGCGAGAAUGGGAAUUCGAUUGACAACUGGCAGACAUGCCUUCACGCGAAUGGGUAACGACGGGGGGACCUGACAACGCCAUACGAGGCUUGAGAAAAGAGAAGAGAGAGGAUCCGGAACGGCGCGUGCCUUCCGACGAGAAAAAACCAGAAGCUGUGAAACCACCUGCAUAGCGAAACGCAAUUGUGACGCGCAUCCCGAAAAUCACGUGCAUACAGUGACAAGCCUCAUUGUACACACUGUCCUCUGCUUCAGGACUUACUUCACCGGCACUAAAUACAUAGUGUUAAGUAUCCACGGCUCCCACGCUGAGACCUUGUUGUUGGAUACAUCUUGCAGCACGUCGACUCUACCAUAGCUCAAUGCACGAGGUGGGGGUGGGAACACAGUGGCUAUAGAAAAAAAGAGGACGCAAACGACGCUGCAGCGGUCAGUUGAGGGUAGAGGGGGUGUUGAGUACCGGACGACUGAGCCCCGACAACCGUGUCACGCACGUUUCUAGCGCUCUGGCUAGAACGCGAAGACAAGGGUGCAUUGUCAUGAAGACGUACCUCGAUUCUGUAUCUGUUGGGUUUUUUCCCCUUGGUGCCCCCCGUCGCCUGACCUCGUCCUCUUAGAUCGGUCUGCGACAUUCCGGCCAUGUUCGUCACAUUGCUCCCCGUUGCCAGGCCGUACUUCAUCCCCGGCAGUUUCUCCUUGCUGCCUCGAUCCGCCGCAUACACCACUGAACCUUGGGCACCUCGCUGAGCCGAACACGGAUUCUAGAGCAUACAGUGCCAAGAAUUUUGGCUCUAUUACAGACGCAGCACGUGACGAGAUUGCCUCCGUCGAUGAGGUACACGAAGAAAUAUUCAUCCCAAAACGCCUUCGCACUGCAUUAUUUCCCUGGCACGAGCUUUGAUUCCUGCCAACCAGACGCCUGAAGAAGUGAGUGGCUAAACGCCCCCAUGGAGCCAAAACUGGGAGGGACG
rnacentral:lncRNA from 1 species